CCUACGGGUGGCAGCAGUGAGGAAUAUUGGUCAAUGGCCGGAAGGCUGAACCAGCCAAGCCGCGUGAGGGAGGAAGGCGCAGAGCGUCGCAGACCUCUUUUACCGGGGGACAAAGUGCCGGACGGGUCCGGUUCUGAAUGUACCCGGAGAAAAAGCAUCGGCUAACUCCGUGCCAGCAGCCGCGGUAAUACGGAGGAUGCGAGCGUUAUCCGGAUUCAUUGGGUUUAAAGGGUGCGCAGGCGGGCCUUUAAGCCGGCGGUGAAAUCGCGGGGCUCAACCCCGCCAAGCCGUCGGAACUGGGGGCCUUGAGUGCGGCGGAGGCAUGCGGAAUGCGUGGUGUAGCGGUGAAAUGCAUAGAUAUCGCGCAGAACCCCGAUUGCGAAGGCAGCGUGCUGUGCCGCCACUGACGCUGAGGCACGAAAGCGCGGGGAUCGAACAGGAUUAGAUACCCGUGUAGUC
rnacentral:rRNA from 1 species